rnacentral:rRNA from 1 species
UGCGUUCCCGGGCCUUGUACACACCGCCCGUCAAGUCAUGAAAGUGGGCAGCACCCGAAGACGGUGGCCUAACCCUUGUGGGGGGAGCCGUCUAAGGUGAGGCUCGUGAUUGGGACUAAGUCGUAACAAGGUAGC